rnacentral:rRNA from 1 species
GNGNUUGAUCCUGGCUCAGAACGAACGCUGGCGGCGUGCUUAACACAUGCAAGUCGAACGCGAAAAUUUUCCUCGGAAAGUGAGUAGAGUGGCGGACGGGUGAGUAACACGUGAACAAUCUGCCCUCAAAUUUGGGAUAACGGCUCCAACGAGCCGCUAAUACCGGAUAGGUUUAUCUGAUCACCUGGUUGGAUAAAGAAAGUUGCAACUGCAACGUUUGAGGAUGAGUUCGCGGCCCAUUAGCUAGUUGGCGGGGUAAAGGCCCACCAAGGCAACGAUGGUUAGCGGGUCUGAGAGGAUGAUCCGCCACACUGGAACUGAAACACGGACCAGACUCCUACGGGAGGCAGCAGUGAGGAAUAUUGCGCAAUGGGGGAAACCCUGACGCAGCGACGCCGCGUGGAUGAUGAAGGCCUUCGGGUCGUAAAAUCCUGUCAAGUGGAAAGAAAUGCAUGGUGGCUAAUACCUGCCAUGUUUGACGGUACCACUGAAGGAAGCACCGGCUAACUCCGUGCCAGCAGCCGCGGUAAUACGGGGGGUGCAAGCGUUGUUCGGAAUUAUUGGGCGUAAAGCGCGUGUAGGCGGUCUGAUUAGUCUGAUGUGAAAGCCCUGGGCUCAACCCAGGAAGUGCAUUGGAUACUGUCAGACUUGAAUACGGGAGAGGGUAGUGGAAUUCCUAGUGUAGGAGUGAAAUCCGUAGAUAUUAGGAGGAACACCGGUGGCGAAGGCGGCUACCUGGACCGAUAUUGACGCUGAGACGCGAAAGCGUGGGUAGCAAACAGGAUUAGAUACCCUGGUAGUCC